AACACAUGGUAACCCUGUUUUUAUUAUUUUAGUAAUGCAAUUUAAGCAAAUUACCUCUCAUGUCACGGUUGUGCCUCCUCUGUUCCUGCCUCCCCGUAGUUUUUGUCCUGUCUCGCGCCCCUUAGUUGGUCUGCCUGCGUUUCGUGUCUGGUUAUUGUUCAUUGUUGUGGUAAUGGGUUAAUUGUUAUCACAUACCACACACGUCUGCUCGUCGCCUUGUUUCAUUCCGCACCCGCCUGCUCGUCGUCUGUGAUUGUCUCCAAGUGUGUCCUGUUACCCUGUAUAUUUAAGUCUUGCUUCUCUGUCGCUCUGUUACUUGAUCCUACAGUUUACGUUGCCCAUGUCUGCUACCCAUGUUUCCAAGUUCUCUGCAUGUUUCGAGUUCCGUUACGUGUUUUCUGGGUUUUUUUUCUGGGUUUUUCCUUUUGAAAUUGCCCCCCGUGGCCUUUCCUUUGUUCUGUUUUGUUUUUGAAAGUAAAGUCUUUAUUUGAAUUUACCUUUUGGCGUCUGUUUUUACUCUGCACUUGGGUUCCAACUCAACCAAACCCUGACGCAUCCAUGUUCUGUAAAAGGCAAAAAUCACGCUCUUUUCAAUGCACUAGCCUGUCAAUGCAUUUACUUGUAUUUGUUGCUAGCGGCAACUGGCCAUUUAUUUAUUUUUUGAAGCACUUAUUUCAGUUGCUGCAAUUUUGUGUGCUACUUCCUUUCCCACAGGCUGAACUGAGGGACCAUCAACAAGGAACUCACAGAGCUGGAGCCGGAGGGUCUGUUAAUCUGUCGGCAAACAGCUACCAUGACGACAAUGGAAGCGUGACAACUGCGAAGAGAGAUCCAGGCGCUCUGACGAGAAGCAAGGGAGCCAGCCGGACUCUUUGACAGGAACAGCUGGGGGUUUUUGUGCAUCCCGGAGUUAUGGGAACUGCUUCUUAACCUUUACAGGGUGAGCUGCAUGUUGUUCUGUCCACGGCGUUCUCCAGAACAGCGUGCUCCUGACACGAUGGAGCCCUGUGAGUCACCUGCUGUAAACUCUGUAAACCCGUGCACCGUU